GGAAGGGAAUCGUUCCCGGUGGGGCGCUUGGCCUUCAAAGCCAAUGUAGGGCGUACAACGUGCUUGGUGGGUUCAACUCCCACUCCUUUCCGCCA
rnacentral:tRNA from 1 species